GUAGCUCCCUGGGCGCUUCGAAGAUCCAGCGGCUUGCUGUGAGUCCGGGAGGCAAAAUUGUACCCAUUUCAAAGAUGUGAUGACUAAAGUCUCGAGAGGGCCAAGGCUCGCCCAAGGUUGCUCUGUGGUGACAGCUUUACCUCCUUGCUAUGUAUUCUCAGAUAUUGCAAACGGACGAGAGAAAAGUGGAGGCCCCUGCGCUCCACAAGUGUCCGAUGAGAAGCAAUGCAGUGUCCAUCGAUGGAGGAGCAAGAGAGCCGGCGCCUCUCAGGCUUCCAAGAAUGAAUCCUGGAGAAAACAAGGUCGUUCGACGAUUUCGACACGUCGCAUCCCUGAGAGUCUCUCGUGUCCUGAUCAACUCGAGAACUGGAGGCGGUGACAUUUUAGAUGCUGCAGUGAAAGCCACAGAGCCACGGAAGGCCGAGACUCCACCAUGUUUGUGAUCUUCACAUUCAGCAAACUCACUCGCACUCUGCCUCAUCUUAUCUCUAGAAUGUAUUUUACCACACUGUGUCCCUUCUUUAGUGGGAAUGUCUUUGGCCAAAAAUAAUGAAUAGUUCUGACCUGACUUGCUAAUACCCAGUGAUAAAAGGAUGGAAUUUGUUGGGAAUAAAAGAAAACUAAGCUUACAAACGAGGGCCCUGAUGCUCCGUUCCGAGCUUGGUCAUCUAAUUUCCAGCCACAAUGUGGUCGAGAUGACAUUUGGAGAGGCCCCAGGUGGACAUCAAUACACUGUCAACCUCCAUACUCAACUCUAAGCUGUCCCUGGGAAUUUCAGCCAUUCCUAACCUCCAGAGGGCGCCCGCUAUGCCCUUACUCCCCUAAACCAAGGUUCCAGGCAGAAACACACUGCUGGUCUCUUACCGGGCCAUUUCCUUGGUCUCCUGCCGUGCGGUCGCCAUCUUAAUUAUGUCCCUCAGAAGGGGCAUCCCCCCUUCUUUGAUCAGCAGAGGGCAGUACUUGUCCGCUGUGGGAUAGGAGCAGACAGCAGAGGAUCAGGAUGGGUCUUCUUAUCAGCCCGAGGCCCAGAAACCCACCCUGUCUGUGAGGACUAUCCUGGUGUCGGGGGUGUGAAGGCACAGCCCUUGGUGGGGGCAGUGCUAGAAAUGGGGGCAAGACGUGGGCCCAGCCCCAUGGGUGGGAGUUCUGCGUCCAUGUAGGGGAGGCAAGAGGUGACUCCUUGGUUUGAAGUUGCUGC
rnacentral:lncRNA from 1 species